CUAAUAUCCUUUGCUAAUGACGGUACCUGAAGAAUAAGCACCGGCUAACUACGUGCCAGCAGCCGCGGUAAUACGUAGGGUGCAAGCGUUAAUCGGAAUUACUGGGCGUAAAGCGUGCGCAGGCGGUUGUGCAAGACCGAUGUGAAAUCCCCGGGCUUAACCUGGGAAUGGCAUUGGUGACUGCACGGCUAGAGUGUGUCAGAGGGGGGUAGAAUUCCACGUGUAGCAGUGAAAUGCGUAGAGAUGUGGAGGAACACCGAUGGCGAAGGCAGCCCCCUGGGUCAAGAUUGACGCUCAUGCACGAAAGCGUGGGGAGCAAACAGGAUUAGAUACCCUGGUAGUCCACGCCCUAAACGAUGUCUACUAGUUGUCGGGUUUUAAUUAACUUGGUAACGCAGCUAACGCGUGAAGUAGACCGCCUGGGGAGUACGGUCGCAAGAUUAAAACUCA
rnacentral:rRNA from 1 species